rnacentral:rRNA from 1 species
CAGCAGCAGCCACGGGAACACGAAGGGUGCAAGCGUUACUCGGAAUUACUGGGCGUAAAGCGUGCGUAGGUGGUGGUUUAAGUCCGUUGUGAAAGCCCUGGGCUCAACCUGGGAAUUGCAGUGGAUACUGGGUCACUAGAGUGUGGUAGAGGAUAGUGGAAUUUCCGGUGUAGCAGUGAAAUGCGUAGAGAUCGGAAGGAACAUCUGUGGCGAAGGCGACUAUCUGGGCCAACACUGACACUGAGGCACGAAAGCGUGGGGAGCAAACAGGAUUAGAGACCCCCGUAGUCCCUGUCUCUUAUAC